GGAAGAGGCGGGCUUUUCCGACCCCCACGCCCCUGGGAUGGUAAAGCUGCAGCCCACCUCGUCCUGGGGCAGAGUCUCCUUGCCUGCCUGCUUGCAUCGCUCACCAGCGUCCUAUCCUAACACCUCUGUUUCGUGCCCAUCACUUUGUCUCUCGCUGAAUUCCUUCUGCGUGGAGACAUAGAGAACCUCAGUGAGUCCAGACACAGGAGGAGAGCGUUUCCCAGACUCCUUGCCCCUGAGUGAGGAUACGUGCCUGGUUCUGGCCAAGGGGCUGUGGCUGAUACAGCAGGUGUCACUCUGAGUCAAAGCAAAGGAUGUGCAGACAUGAAGUCUCCACGCUCUCUCUUCUUCACCCCUUGUCUCAAGGUGUCAGAGGCACCAGCUUAUGAGGGAUGUAUGAUUGUCAGCACCUCCACUUUACGGAAGAGGACACCUGGGUAUGAUGAUAAGCUGCCCAAGGUCCCAUAUCUGGU
rnacentral:lncRNA from 1 species